CGCGUCGCCGUCGUAGCGCACGAACUCCGUGUCGUCCACGUAGGCGACAGCUAUGAACCGGGGCUCCCCGAGGCCCGGCCGGGACACGGCGGUUUUGAAACACCGCAUCGAAUGUGAGCCUGGGGGCGGCGCGCGGUAUCGCAGCACCCGACGGGAAUGAGAAUUGCCAGUGCGUCAUUCGUGUCCGGGCAGAAGGACCUGACACAGAAGUCAGACCCUGGAGUCUUCUAGAAAAAAAGCCACUUCCGGGAAUACAAUGAAAACACAAGCAGUUAAAGAUGCAGUGAGAAAUGCUUCUCCUUUAAGAGGAGGUGCUGGCCUGCAAGCCCCACCCGGACCCCACAGAGGCCAGGCUCCCUUCACCUGCAUGGGCGGCUCAAACUGCCAAGCCUGAGUGCAGGACUCUCAUCUGUAAAGAGGAGACUUUGCCUCUUCCCUCAGGAUCUGUCUACUGAACCUCGGGUUUAGACCCAGAUUCCUUGUGUUUAUUCCCAGAAGAUGCAUCUGUGGCUCCAGGUGGGUGCGUUUUACAAGGAUCUUCAUUCCGAGUCCUGAGAUUGUCCAUGUGGACCCGGGUGGUUGUCUCAGCACAGGAGACCCCGUUGUCCACAGGGAAGAGACCCCUGUGGAGACCACAGACAGCAAAGCGCCCUGUGCUACACUGCACUUACCCUAUGUCCACACUUCUCCUGUGCAGCUGCUUUAGUGACUAAAUCACGGUAGGAGGGGAACUGUAAUUAACUAUACCACAGAAUAAUGAGAGAGUGUGGGAGAAGUUAUCAAUCUGUGACCUCUCACUCCCUCUCUGACCUUCACUCACACUUAUGAGCUGAGAAGGUGAGGGACAUGAAUGUGUGGGACAGUGGAUCUGAUAACCGAGCUGGCCCCAGAGUUCCUCAGGCCUGAGCAGUGUGGACAUUGGAGGAAAGAUGAUUCUCAGGCCAGAGAGCACACGCUGGUGAUGUGAGGUUUCAUCCCUGGUCAGAGUAUGGGGAAAGAUUAAAUUUUCAGGUUUCUUGACUCCGUGGAGCUCUACAAAUCGCAGUCACAUAACUGAAGUGGGAGAAGAGGAGAGAUGGGUGGGGGCUCCUGAAGAGAGUCACCCAUCACACAGAGCAACAAAUGUGGGUGAGCACAGUUGUGAACUCCAGUCACCUCCCCAUGCAGGUCUCCACAGCAGCCCAGCAGCCUCACCAGGAUUCAGCGGCUCCUGUUUCAGUGAACCACUCUUAUUAGGUGCUGUGAGUGUUUUCCGUGGGAACUUGAAGCUCUUAGGUUCCAUCCUGACUGACCUAAGGAUGCAGUUGGGGUAGGCAGCCCCACAGAAAGGAUCCGUCUCUGUUACUUUUCUUCUCAUUUAUUCUGUUUUUUGAUACAAGGUCUGUCUGCACUGCUCUGGUUCUCCUGUAAUUUACUAUGUAGACCAAGCUGGUCUUGACCCCACAGAGAUACAUGGCCUUUGCAUCCUGUGGGCUGGGUGUCUUAGUUUCCCUUUCAUUGUUGUGAAGAAACACCCUGACCAAGGAAACACUUGUAAAAAGAAACAUUCAAUAGUGGCUGGGUAACAGUUUCAGGGGUUUAGUCCAUUAUAGCGGAAGCAUGGCAGCUGCAGGCAGACAUGGUGCUGAAGGAGCUGAGACUUCUACAUCUUGAUCCAAAGGCAGCCAGGAAGAGGCUCUCAUUCCACACUGGGCAGAGCAUGAGCACAGAGACCUCAAAGUCCUUCCUCUCAGUGACACACUUCCUCCAGCAAGGCCACGCCUUCUCCCACAAGGCCACACCUCCUAAUAGUACCACUCUUGUGGGCCAAGCAUCCAAACAUAUGAGUCUAUGGGGGCCACAUAUUCAAUCAACCACAAUAGGAUUGAAGGCCUGUGUUAGCACACUAGCUCUAGUUAGUUUUUAUUACUGUGAUAAGACACUAUGACCAAGGUAUCUUAUAAAAGAAUAUGUUUAAUCUGUUAUAUAGUUUCAGAGGAUUUGAGUCCAUGAUGGCAGAGGAGAGGUGUGGUGUGGGAACAGCUGAGAGCUCCCGACUUGAUUUGCAAGUAACAGACUGAGACACUGGCAAUAGUGAAAGUCGAUUUUUAAAAAAUUUUGAUAUAUCUAAUAUAUGUAAUAUAAAAUAUUAUUGUAUAUAAUAUAUAUAAUUUAUUCAUAAAGUACCUAUCUUCAGACACCAUAAGAGGGCAUCAGAUCUCAUUACAGAUGGUUGUGAGGCACUGUGUGGUUUCUGGGAUUUGAACUCAGGAGCAGUCAUUGCUAUUAACCACUGAGCCAUCUCUCCAGCCCAGUGAAAGUCUUUUAAAACCUCAGUGCCCAACCCAGUGGCAGACAUCCUCCAUCAAGGCCACACCUCCCAAUCCUCUCUGAACAUGGCCUCAGCUGGAUUUGAAGGAUUCAUUCCCAUGAGCCUGUGUGGCUGUUCUCAUUCAAACCAGCACAGCAGUCACUGUGAAGUGUAAGAGGCCAGCAGGGUUCUGGAGAUGUGUCCAGUGCAGGCUGAGGGAAAUGCCCUCACACAGGGCACUCUGCUGGGUUAGGUCUCUCCUUUGUCUCUGUCUCCUCCUGCUCAGCCCCUCUAUGUCUCUGUCCCUCAGGUCUCACCCCAUCCGUGCCCAGCUCCCCUCCCUCCUGAGCUCUGCACUGACCCUGUCUCUUCCUUGGCCUCUGGUUUCUCUAUGGCGUCAGCCAGCAGCUGUGAGGCAGCUGUGUGGUUCCUGAGGCAAACAUUCCAAUGGUGGCUGGGGAGAGGGCUCAGCAGCCAGGAGCACUUGUUGCUGGUGCAGAGGAUCCAGGCUGAGUUCCCUCAGCACACGGUGGCUUCCACCGUCUGUGACUUCAGUUCCAAGGGAUCAAUGGCUGUGCACCUACAUGUUUAUAUGCACAAAGAGGACAGGUCAUGAAAAUAAAAUAUAAAAGUAUGAUUUUAAUUAUCCUGCCUGUCUUUCUUCUACACAUCGAGAGUGUGAGGCCAGGGGCGGAGGGCACAGUGCUGUUCAGACAACAGUGGACCACCAGCCAUUGAGAUGGUUGAAAUAGUGUAUUGAAAUGACAAUUUACAGAACAGCAUAAAAUUAAAUAUACAAAAGAUCUUUCACUGUACGGACCUGCUGUGCACAGUGGAUCACGGCCUCAUUCCAGGGAGAAGACACACUGUGUGCUGAUCUUUGUAAUUGAGCAGAUGUCAGUUUUGAUUCCCCAUGAACAGGAUAAAUUCCACUCAGAUGGUUGGAUAUUAAUUUAUAACAGACCAGAACAUCCAAACACCCAGAAUGUUCCUCAGAGAAAGGUGUCCCUUUCCCCAUCUUCCCUCCCACUGCUGACCCUCCAGGUCUCACCUGUUAAAGAUGGUAGAGAAGCGUCCCGUUCUUGUCCAAUAGCACCUCCUGGUGGAAGAAACAGAGAGGACGGAGUCUGAGCCCACGGAGCUGAGGGUAAAGGGGACCCAGGCUGGCUGUGCUGCCCCAGGGCUUCCUUGCUGUCUGUGCUUCUCCAGGGCUCUCAGGUCUCAUGCUGCCCUGCUCUCAUCACACUUACAUCCAGAAGAACUUUACAUGCUUUUCCAGCCCUGGGAAGAAAACGCCCUGUAAGAGGGGAGGCAGGAGGCAGAGCCCUGAGUGCUCAGAGGAGCUGCAAAGCCCCAGAGUAGGUGCAGACUCUGACCUGGACUAUGAUGUUGAUUGUUUGAUGUCAGCUACAUGGGGGGUUAACUAAAACCCCAAAAUGGAGGUCAACAGCUGUGAGGCGGUUUUACUUAAGGUGAAGUGGGAAGAUCAGUUUCUGAUCCUUUCCUUUGAUGGAGGAAGAGACACCUGCAAUCCUGAUUAUUUGAGUGGAGUCCCUCCCCGUUUCUAAUCUGGCCACACCUUCUGCUGGAGGCCUCAGUGAAGACAUGGAAGGAAUCGCUUGCUCUUUGUCUGCUUGCUCUUGCUCCUGCUCCAGCUCCUGCUGCUUCUGUGGGGCAUUCCUGCCUGCCCGUCCUUGCUCUGCAUAAUGACAGCAGACUUACAUUUAUUUAUGGAUGCCUAGGCUUCAUGCUGGGCCUGUCCAGGCUUCUCCUAACUCAGUUAUCCCAUUUACACCAUCCUAAGUUCUGCCAUGUGGCUGCUCACCUCUCCUCAGAUUCACACAUCCCGACCCCUCUGAGUCUGGGUGGUGACUCCCCCAUGCUUCUCUCUUCCCAGAGUUCCUCCCUCUGACCACAAUCCUGCCCUCAGCUCCCCUUGGCUAUAGGACAUAGGCUUUGUAUCUCAUCCUUCAGAAGGUGCUUUAGGUAGGCAGGGUAGGACGGAGAGGCUUCCUCACACAGAGCACAACAACAUUACCUCAGCAUUGCCCCCGUUAGUCCUAUAAAAGGCAAAUCGUUCUCUGACAUCAUCAACUAUACACAGUGAGAACAAGGAUAAAAACAUAAUCAUAAAGAGUUAAUAAUUCUUAAUUCUCAUUAAGAAUUACUAUUUAAUUGAUUAAGAAGUAUUUGAGGUUGGAUCAUCUGGACGAUUUGUCUGGUCUCCUUUGGUGUCUGGUCCUUUCCCUGUAAACACACUAACGUUUAUAGGUAACAUCCAUUUCUGCAUUAACACAUGCAUGGACUGUAAAGUGUACACAGUUCAGUUCAAGAUGAUUCUGUUCUAUGUGCGAGAAGGAAAUUCAUCAGACUCUAUAUGUCUGUCUGUGCUAUAUCCCCAAGCUGCAGUGUAAGUAUCCAGCCAUGCCAUGGGAAAGGGUGACUUGAGAAGCCAUGCAGGCUUUGUGGCCACCGAGAUUCACUGGCUAUGCAUAGUGACACCCUGUCUGCAGACAUUCAUGUCUCAGCCAGUUUCAGAGCUGUUUCCAUGUAGAGGGACGAGAAUUCAUGUUUUGUUUUGUUUAUUUUGAUGUUGUAUUUGUUUUCUUCCUUCAUUUUUGCAAAUAAGAUUUUCAGGGGGUCUCCCCUGGUCAAAUGUAAUAUUUAUUAAUUUUGAGGGAAGUUAUAGCUUUUCUUCUCCUGUUGAAAGAAAGACAAAACAUCUCCCUGAACUCAACACACGUCCCUCCUUCCAUUCUGAGGGUCUCACAUAUAUCUGCUGACCUGACCCAGCAGUCCUUCCUCAACUCCAUGUUUUUCAGGGCUGUGUUUCCUGUCUCUAGUCCUACAACCAGACUUCAGACAAAGUAGAUUCCAGGAGGCGAGGUCGAGUGUGUAGUCCAUGAGGAGGAGCCUCUACUUCUGUGCACACAUGUGAGGAACUUGACAGGUUUGCUAAUUCACUAAGCAGAAGUCUGGGGAACGUGUGGGAGUGGAUUUUGAGGGUGUGGGAUAAUGACGGAAGGAACAUAAAAUUGAGUCUGGGUGAGGUUUUCAGUAUGGGAACACUGACUGGACAUUGGACUUUAAUCUGUGAUUUUUAACCUUUUAAAAAGGUGAAAAAGGGGGUGUUUGGGGAUUUAGCUCAGUGGUAGAGCGCUUGCCUAGCAAGCGCAAGACCCUGGGUUCGGUCCCCAGCUCCGAAAAAAAAAAAAAGGUGAAAAAGGUUUGUUUGAAGGGUUGGCUGAACUGUUUAUCAAAAGAAGGUCUACUGAAAAGGGGUUGAAGAUUCAUUGACAGCCCUACCUUACACCUGACCUGGGAGAUAGUAGAGCCAGGAGGAGCUGACUGAGCAGAGAGGCUAGAACGGUUGUCACAGUCUGGAGCUGCUGUAAUUGGGACAUCUGGGAGAAGGGACUGUUUAAGUGCAGUGUCCGGAAUUGAGGGAGGAGUUGGGAGAAACGUUAGACGGGGCUGGGCUGGAUGAUGGAAGGAAUUGUUGGAAAGAAAUUAGAUUGACAGGUCUCUCUCUCUCAAUAUGUGUGUGUGUGUGUGUGUGUGUGUGUGUGUGUGUGUGUAUCCCUCUUUCUCUCUCUCUCUCCUGCUUCUUUCCUCUCUAGUCAUAGGGGAUAAAACCAGGAGGACAAAGGGUGGGGACAAAAGAACCAACAAAGUAAGGAAGACCAGCUACAUGGCUCUCUGUGUAUCCCUGGCUGCCCUGGGACUCACUCUGUACCCAAGGCUGGUCUCGAACUCACAGAUCUGCCUGCCUCUGGGUAUGUACAACCAAGGCUCAGGAAAUAUUCUUAAUCAAAUCACCACAGAAGCCUACUGAAUUUGUGUUUGGUCACAUAAGUGGGAAAAUUGUCAACAAAUGAGAGAAAGGCUAUAUACUAGUGGCCAAAGAGCAUCUUGUUUCAUGAAUCAGUUUCUAACCUUGAGACAGUUUGCAGAUGCAGAACUCCUUGAAUGAAUGAAUGGCCAGGUUACCCUGAGUAAGUACCUUAUUAAACAUCUAAACUGUAUACUGCUAGCCUUUCUCCAGUGCUUUCCUAGUGGGACCUCAGGAGACCCAGGAUAACCAUACACUGGGGGGGGGGAGAACUAAUCAGACUUACCAGGCUCUAUUGCAUAUUGGCCCAAAUUAAUGCUGACUCCAGGAGCUCCCGGGAAACAUUAUGGUUCUUCAGUCAGAGUAGAGUGUUAUGGAGGGCCAGGGAUUAAUGAGGUUUUGGCUGAAAUCUGAAUCACAUCAGGCCCAGUGGGUUCCUGAAUUCAUCCUGUGGUUAUUUUUCCAGUCCCAGAAGGUAGAAUUGGGAUACAUGUACUUAGAGGUUGUCAGAAUGCUCACACUGGUUCCCUGACCUGUGGACUGAGGGCUAUCAUGGUUGGAAAGGGUAAGUGGAAGCCUUCAGAGUUCCCUCUGCCUAGGAAAAUAGUGAAUCAAAGACAGCAACACAUCCUUGUAGAAAUUUGAGAAAUCACUGGCACCAUCAAUUGUCAAGUCAUUCUCACAGUCAAUCUGUCUUGCUCUGCACUGGCCUCAUAGGAGAUGUAUAGGGAGAUGUGGUCAGAACAACUUUUGAUUCUGGUAACAUAUGUAUGCUUCAGAGGGCUGAAAAAAAAGCCUACCAAAUAUUCAAAUCCUUUUAAUUCAGGGGAAUUCAGGAAUCCAGUGGAUGGGGCAGGCACAGACAUUCCAUCCAAGAUGAAGGAAAGGUUCCUGACCUGGCCCCUCCUACCACCAAGAAAGGAGCACAGGGCUUAAUUGUGUCUUUGGAUUCUGCAAACAGCACAUCCCUCACUUGGAUCUGUUACUCUGGCCCAUAAGCCUUCUGAAUCAGAGAGCUGCUAACUUCCUGUGGGUCCUGGGACAGGUGAAGACUCUUCAACAGGUCCCGGCUGUGGUUCAGGCUGCUCCAACAUCUUGGACCAUAUGAUCCAGCAGACCUGAUGGUACUUGAGGCAUAAGUGACAGAGAAGGAUGUUGUUUUGAGGAUUUGGCAGGCCUCUGUGAGGGAAUCACAGAAGAGAACUUUGGGAUUUUGGAGCAAGGCUCCACCAUCAUCUGCAGACAACUCUUCCCCCUGUGAGAGACAGCUCCUGGCCUUGGUGCAACCUGAACAUUUGACAAUGGGCCACCAAGUUACCAUGUGACCUGGGCUACCUAUAAUGGGCUGGAUGUUAUCUGACCCACAAAGUCAUAAAAUAGGACACACACAGCCCUGAGCUGUUAGCGAAUAGAAGUGGUAUAAACAUAAUCAGGACUGGACAGGUCCUACGGGCACAAGGAAGUUACAUGAAGAAUUUGCCCAACUGCCUCCUGUCUCUAGUCCUGUUACAAUGUCAUCUGCAGCCAAGCACGCACCUGCAGCCUCAUGAGCUGUGCCUUAUCCUUGCAAGACUGAGGAAGAAGAGACGAGGGCCUGUCUUGCUGAUGGCUGUGCAUGUUGUGCAGGCCCCACCAGACAUGGACAGCUGCAGCAUUUCCACCCCUUGCCUGUAGAACCCAAAGAUCAAUUCCUAAACAGGUCCAUUUUCUCUGGAUCCUAAUACCCAUUUUUUCCCACUACCUUUAGUGGGUUGUGGGCUUGAAGGGAGGUUAAAGCAUUUAAGAGACCACAUUAAAGUAAGAUGAGAAAAAUAUAAGUUUACAGUGCCAUCUCUGUGGAGCUGCUGGGCAAGGCAGGAGAGGAGGUGCUGGCACUAUGGACAACUCUCGUGAGACAGCUCCUGGGGUGGGAGUUUACCAAGACUGUAGGCUGAGGCAGGAAAGGAGUCACCAUUGUGAAUAGCCUCUCCUGACAACAGUAGGCUGAGGCAGGACAGGCGAUGCCCAACCAUCGACAGCUCCUGUAGACAGGGCCUCUGCCUAAUAUUAGGAAUGAAACAGCAAGUUUUGACAGCUCCUGUCGGGGCAUAUCACUGCAGGCUGGGGCAGAAAGAAGCGAUUUGCUGCACCUUUGAUGGAAUUUGCAGCUAACAGCUUAGAGUGUACAGAAUUGAACAUUGUUUGAAAAUAAAAUGCACAUUUUACAAGUGGUGCCAAAUGUGGGGCGAUGCAGAAUGGGGGGGGGGGUUAUUUCAAGUUCCUUAGAACAAAAGGCAGGAAAAGGAGGAGUGGAUACUUUGUUUCAAAAAGCCAACAGGGUGCUUACUGAGGCUGUUCUUGGGUCCUGCCCUGUACAGUUUUUAGCAGCCAUAUUUUUUCUCCUUUUUCUCAUUUUGUGCUAUUUUGUUUAUAAGAAGUUGAAAGAUUGUUGCUUAUCCAAGGAUUGAUAGGUUUCUUGUUUAAGUAUUGGUGGGUUUUCUGGGAAGUUCAGGGGCUGGUGGUUGGGGGGGGGAUUCUUUUUCUUUGUUGUUGUUUUUCCUUUUGCUUUCUUUUUUUUUUUUUGUUUUGUUUUGUCUUUUGUUUGCUCAGGGAUUGAUAGGUCUUUUUUCCUUUUCUUUCUUUCUUUCUUUCUUUUUUUUUUUUUUUUUUCAGAUGCACUACCUUUCUCUGAACUGGCCCGAUGGGUUCAGAUAAGAAGUCCUUCCUGGCUGCAGGCAGCUUUGCUGUGGUGCCCUCUCUGUGGAGCUGCUGGGAGAGGCAGGAGAGGAGUUGCCCCCAACAUGGACAGCUCCUGUGGGGAGCUCCUGCUUCAGAAAAAAGCAAAUGAGCCACCCUGGACAGCUACUGGGAUGUCUUCAGGCUGAUGAGAGGCCUUGGUGUAGCCAUUUCCACAAGAGACACAAAUUUUGACAGUUCCUGUGAGGGCAUCUUAAAGCUGAGACAAGAAGGUGGGGCCUGGCGCUGGUUUGACCGAUUUUGCCGAGCACUGCUUAGGAACUACAUGGUGUAGUUUGGAGCCACCGGUAUUGGGAAAACUGGGAGAAGGGACUGUUUGACUAGACUGUAGGAGAAUUGUGGGAGGAAGGGUUGGGAGAAAUGUUUAAAGAGGCUGGGUUGGAAACAGGCAGGAAAAAAGGAAUGGAUACUUUGUUUCAAAAAUCAACAUUUGUGUUUUCUAAGGCUUUUCUUGGGCCAUGCCCCACAUGUAUUUCCACGUCAGUUUUCUUUUCCACUCUCCAUCAUUUGGGACUAUUAUUUAUAAAGCGGAGGAAAGAUUUGACUGAGGAACUGGAAUAAAUAUGGGAAGAAAUGGAGAACCUUGGGAUUCAAAACAUGGAGGGAAAAAGGAAAACAGGAGGGUUCCUCUCUCUCUUCUGAGAAGUAGCAGAGUUGGCUGUGCAACUGGAGAAACUAACAGAGGUAGAAGAUUGCAAAAUGUCAAACACAAGAAAAGGGAGAACCAAUAGGCUCAUUCCCAGUGACUGGAGCAGAGAGAGGGAGCUUCCCCCAGGUAGAAAGAGAGGAAGAACCUGGGUCAGAGGGCGGUCAGGUCAAAGUGGAAAGCAGGAGGAUGGUCAGAGGAGACUGCCAUGUUUCAUGGACAGGUAUAAACCCACAGCACCUUUUGAGGACAGGCUGUCCUGGGUCACAGAAUCCCAACAGCAUUCCAAGUAGUUCCACCACAGCAUAUGCUGGCUAAUGGAGAUAAUCCACCCACACGGUUAUGACAAUACAGGAUGGGGUGCUGUACACAUGAUGGACCUAAGGCAUUUCAAAGACGCAUUGAUGUCCUAUGGCAUGCCCUUGUCCUAUGUGAAACAAACUCUAAAUAUUUAGACUACUUAGAAUUGAACUAUUCCCCAAGGCUGAGGAGGAUUGGUAACAGCUGUAGCAGAGGCUGGACCUCAAUGGUAAUGGUUGCCAUGAUGGAGUGAAGCCUCCAGGAAUGUGGAAGAGCACAGAGGAGGAGGGGAAUUAACACAGCUCAGGUCCACUUGAUAGGGGCUCUGCGCUGCUGUACAGGAACAGGGCAACUUGAGGAUCCAAUCUCAGAACAGUGCUGCUGAGCAGCUUUAAGGGCUGGGAACGGAGUGGAGGAGCCAGGACGGAAGUCCACAUCACUUAGAAAAAUUAUGCAAGUGUCGGGGGAAGCCUUCACUGACUUUCUUUUUUCUUUUGCAAGGAUUAGUUUCAACUGUGCACAAAGCCAUGUCAGACCCUGAUUCCAGACAAGUGCUCUCUGAGACCUUAGCAUCUGAAAAGUCUUCACCUGUGGCCAGCAGCUCUGCACGGUUACCCUGAGGCCUCUGGCUAUUUCCCGUUCCCUGGGUGUAGCCUAGCCACGGAGGCCCACAGUCACUCAGCAGCUCGAGAUGUUGGGAGGAGGUCGGCAUGCGAGUAGACUGUGAAUGGACACUUCCUGCAUUCAGGUCGGCGGCUAGUGCUUUGGUGGCGAGGCCAAGGCUCCCAAGUCCGCACACCUGUCCGAGCGCCUGCCAGGAACCAGUGCACUUUGUUUUGUAGCCUUCUUGGGCCACCAGGGCAACUAUGGCUGUCCUCACGCUGCCACAUUACAUCAGGCAGACACCAGGUGCGGCUCACGGGAGGCCACAAACUUUGAGCCCAGACAGGGCUGGGCUGUACACUCUAUGUACAAUGCAUCCACACAAUUAACUUACAUCCGAUUGAUAAGGGUAUUAACCACCCACGUAGAUAAGAUAAACCUGUCUACAGAAAUCCAUCCCUGAAGAAAUAUUCAUAACAACCUGUGUCUACAUAAAGAUACGUGGCUAGGAUCAUUUACGUCUGCCUCCAUGUUGCUUCUCCCUUUCUGCUCCCUGUCUUCUUCCCCAAUGAGAGGCCUCAUUUGAUCUUGUGUCUGCCUUCACCUGCAUACAUGGCCAAGAUCUGCAAUGUUGGCAAUCACGAGGCCUUCUCAGAGAAGAGAGCCAGGAAGGAGAAAGGAUAUCAUGAAGACAGAGAGGUGAGUGGUGCAUUUAACUCUUUUUCUUGUUGUUGGAUUUCUGCAAGAAUGGUGGUUUGUACUUGGACAAGAGAAGGCCAAAUACAGACAGAGCUGCUAGGCCAGGUUGUGUCUCUUGUCAUAUACAUGGCUCCCUUGACUGGUGUACUCCAGUGAGGAUCGAGUGGAUCUCAAACAACUCAUGUACAGCCUGCGGGUGUGCGAUAAAAACUGUGGCCCUGAUAAGGACCUUGGAUAAUAAUCUCAUCAUUUCUUAAGGUCCUAACAUCAUGGAUUCUGCAUGAAUGAUAGGGACAGCCCAUGUUCUCCUCAAUCCAUCUGUCUAUGCAGUAGGAACGUUGCUGAUCAGACAAAAAAGCACAAGACAGGAGCAACUUUUCCAGGCCGUGUCUUUUUUUUUUUUUUUUUCUUUUUUUUUUUUCUUUUAUCUUUUUUUCGGAGCUGGGGACCGAACCCACAGGCCGUGUCUUAAAAUCUGUAAAAUGUAACAUUUUAGCAGAUUGGCAUCCCACAGGUGGGCCAUCAGCCACGGCUCUGAGACAAUCAUAUCUCUGAGGUUUAGCAUGGUUAGUAUAAUUUCCUGUCAGGAAAAAAACGCCAGGCAAACGGGGAAGUUACCUCCCUUUCACCUGGUGCUGAAGCCUCACAAGUGAUUUUCAUUGGCUCAAAGGACCACCCAAAGGAACAUCACCAGCAAGCCGAAUUCAAUCGUUUUCCUGAAAAGAAAAAGAACACGUAUUCUCAGGGAAGAGGUUAUUCCCUGGAUUUAUUAUCAUUAUCGAUUUGUUUUACCAAUCGCUCUGGCGGCCAUCUGGCUGCUUCAUUUUCUUGAGAAGAAAUACAGACUGACCUUCUCCCCCAGGUAAGCACUGGCUCGGGUCCACGCCAUUUUCAUCUAAAGGAUCUUUCCAUUUGACCGAGGCAAACUGUUUUUGUGAAUUAGGGUGCCAAAAGCAAUCUGCAGCUGACUUUUUAUCACCAUCCAAUUUUAAAAAAAUUAAAAUAAGGGCAUGGUUCACUAUAUUUCUGGGGGUACCCUUCAUAGGGUACCAUUCUCCCUUUUUAAAUUUUUUCAGUAGUGGUUUUUAAAGACAAAUGUGCUCUUUCUACCAUGCCUUGUCCUUGAGGAUUACAGGGAAUCCCUGUAAGAUGUGCGAUGUGUAACUGUGUACAAAAUUCUUGAAAAGCCUUUGAGAUAUAACCUGGACCAUUAUCAGUUUUAAUUUGUUAGGGAAGCCCCAAGACAGAAAAGCAAUGUAGUAGUGGGCACUGACCUGGUUGCUGGCUUCCCCAGUUCGUAGGGUAGCAACAAUGAACCCACUAUAGGUAUCUGUACAAACAUGAAUAUAUUGUAAAUUACCAAAUUCUGAGCAGUGUGUGGCAUCCAUUUGCCAGAUUGUAUUUGGUACCAAGCCUUUGGGAUUGACUCCCAAGUGUGGAGUUGGGAGGUGAGUCUCACAGGAAGGACAUUGUUUGACUCCCUGUCUGGCUCGUUCUCUGUAAUAUCAAACGUCAAUCUUAAUGUGUGAGCAUUUAAAUGAUGGAAAGAAUGAGCUGUCUGUGCCCGGUGAAGACUUUCAGGUAGGCCAGGGGAGGCGGUGGCUAUGAACUUAGCGGCCCCAUCUGCCACUUCCUUGCCUCGGGUCAAAGGUCCUGGCAGACCAGAAUGGGCCCUAAGGUGUCCCAAGUAACACUUCUUGGUCCAUUUUUGGAUAAGUUUUUUGACAACUUAAAAACAAAGUGGCUGUUUCCAAGACAUUGAAUGUGUCCCACAGGUUCUAACAGAGUGUGGGAUGGGCUAGGUAAGUGCUGUCCAUAUAAACAUUCAAGGAUUCCUCAGGAGAGGCAGAAAGGACUGCAGCACUGGCCUGUAGUUCAACCACUCAGGCGGAGGAGUUUUGAGUCUGGAAUUUAACUAUUUUCAUCUUUAAAGUACAGGCUGCAAUGCCGUUAGAGGAUCCAUCAGUAAACACCAGUCAAGUCUCACCUAAAGGAUCUUUACUAAUAAUUUGGGGACAUAUAAGAGCAUGUGGCUUACAAAAUUGAAUUCGCCUGUCAGGUGGACGAUGGUCGUCUAAAUCUCCUGCCUGAGGCCCAGGCAGCAGGCCCUGUGUCUGUGUCCUGUGAAAGCUGGUCCACCUGAGGUCGGGGGUGAGGCUGAAUAACUUCUUGGCUCAAUUCCAAAGUGUUUUCUAGCAUUCUCUCUUCCUAAAAUAAUGACCUCUGAUACAGAAUCACAGUAAGGUAAUAAAAUCUCCUUCCGGGAAGAAGGUAAAUGGAUCCACACCAUAGGGUUACUCUGCCAAAUAAGGCCGGCUGGUGUCACGGUCAGCUUAAAUGUGAUGAGCACCAAAGGUUGAUGAUGAUUUGUAUGAGUGACAAAUUGUUUGGCAAUGGCGUCCUCGACCUUUUGCAGUGCCAAAGGUGCUGACUGAGAAAUUGAUCUUCAGGAUUUAGGGUCAGGAUCUCCUUUGAAUACAUCAAACAAGGGUUUUAAUUCUCCAGUAGUUAAGUUUCAAAUAAGGUCGAAGCCAAUUAAUAUCACCCAACAAUUUUGGAAGUCAUUAAGAGUGUAUGAUUGAUCCCUGAGAAUGGGAGCCUUUUGAUGAAUUAUCUUUGGUCUGUUCGUUUGGAAUCCCAAGUAAGUGUAGGCUCCUGUAACUGAACCUUUCCUGGAGCUAUUGGAAACCAUGAAGCUGCAGGCCUUUUGUCAGCUGGGUAAGGCAUUGUAAACCCUGUCCACCUUCGUGUUCUGCUAUUAAUAUAUCAUCCAUGUAAUGGACAAUAUGCAUGCUUAUCCAAGAACCUCUGAUUGUUUGUAUGGCCUUAGCAAGGUAUUUUUUGGCAUAGGGUGGGACUAUUGGCCAUUCCUUGAGGCAAGACUCUCCAUUGCUAGCGCCUUGUAGGUUCUUUAAAAUCUAUAAAUGGUAGACUAAAGGCAAACCUUUUCUGAUAUCACAUCAGGAUAUAAAGGAAUUGUAAAAAAGCAAUCUUUCAAAUCAAUUAUUACCUUAAAAUAACCUAGAGGUACUACAGGAGAAGGCAGUCCAGGUUGGAGGGCACCCAUGAGUACCAUGGUAGCAUUCACAGCUCUUGAAUCUUGUAACAGCCUCCAUUUGCCAGACUUUUUCUUAAUAACAAAGAUAGGAGUAUUCCAUGGAGAGUUACUCUCUUGAAUAUGUCCUGCUUCCAAUUGUUCCUGCACUGAUAAUUGUGCUAAUUGUAGUUUUUCAGCUGUUAAAGACCAUUGAUCGACCCACAUGGGCUCAUCAGACUUCCAGAUAAUUGGAUCAGCAUACUCUUGGGGUGCAGGCAGGUCAAUGGCCGAAAUAAAAAAUUUCCCAAUCCAUUUUCAUCCUUCUGGCCUGUGGCUGAGAUAGGUUGUAGGGCCGUUUUCUCGCUCUCCCAAUUCUUUACUGGUGCUGUGUCCCUGGGCCAACAUCUGAGCAGCAAUCUCCUCAUUAGGAAAGGAAGACCCUCCCCCAUGAAUUCACAGGCAAAUGAGGAAUUACAAAAGGAUUAAUGAGGCCUGAAUUAUUUUCCUUAUCUCUCCAAGUAAGGUAUUUUGAACUUUUCUCAGGUUCAUACUCUGAUCAAUCCCUCUCAAGUUAGUUAAUGUCUCUACAGUAGGCCAAUGGGAGGGCCAAUCUCCUUGUUUAAUAACAGUCACAUCGGCUCCCAUAUCAAUUAAUCCUGUAAAUAACUUUCCAUCUAGCCAGAGUCUGAGGGAAGGUUUCUGAGCAGUCAUCUCCUGUACCCAGUAAAUAUUUGAUGAUCCAAAACCCCCAUCUCCUCUUUUGGGAUGUUGUAUUUUAUUGUCAGUUUUCAUUAGGGGAAGCAAUAUUAACUGAGCUAUCCUCUCACCCUGGGGAACGGUUAUAAUACUGUCUACUGCUUUGGCCGUGACUUUUAUUUCCCCUGUAUAAUCAUUGUCUAUGGCUCCGGGAUAAAUCUGCAGCCCUUUCAUGGUCACGCUGCUUCUUCCUAUAAUCAAUACAAACGUUUGAGAUGGCAGCGGACCAUAGAUUCCAGUAUUGAGAGCCUGAGCCACCAUCUCAGGGGUCAAUACUGUGUGGGAGGGGGAACAGAGGUCCAGUCCCGCACUCCUGGGGUUGAUUUACUAAGUUUUGAAAUGGAUUUUUGAAGUUGGCUGGAACAAAGCUGACUGCCCCACAGACUUGUUUCGGGGCCCAGGGCUGGCCCCUCCCUCUGUUUCCCUGAUGAUGUAUUGUGUUCCCUUCAGCCUCCCUCUUUGAUCUGCAGAAAUUUGCCCAAUGUUUUCCCCAUUUGCAUAUUGGACAGAGGCCAGGAGCAGGGAGAUCAGAUUGUUUCCUAAUUGGACCUCCGGAACAAUCCUUAGCAUAAUGUCCUGCCUUACCACAUUUAAAACACCCCCGUUUAUUUUCGUCUCUGUUGGUGAUGAAUUCUUUAACAGUCUGUCCACCAAAGGCUGCAGCCAUAGCAAGACCCUGUUGAUAUGAGGGUCCGAUGUCUGAACAGAGGCGGAUGUAACCUGUCAAAUCAGUCUUCUUUCUAUAGCAUCUGAUAGCCGCCUGGCAGGCUGGAUUGGCGUUUCCAUAGGCCAAUUGUUUCACAGGAUCAACACCUGCCUCUGUACAUCCAAACACACGACCUGCAGGAGUCCUGAGCCUGUGUACAAAGUCUGCAAAAGGCUCAUCUGGUCCCUGUUUCGCCCCAGUAAGUGAAGCUCCUGGAUUCCCUUUAACAGGGAGUUUUCUCCAGGCCCCAGUGUCUGCCGCUUGAACUUGAGCGACAGCCCAGGACCACAUUGCAUCUGAGAAUCAUUAAUAUCAUAAUUGCCUGAUCCAGUCAGCUCGUCAAAGGUCCAUCCAUCACCUGCCUGAGCAUUCUUCUUGACAGUCUCUUUACAAUGUUCAAAACAUUCUGACUUCCAGAGAAGAUGGUCGCCUCCUGUCAGUAUGGCAUGGACUAGUGUAUUCCAGUCCCAGGAGUGAGCCAGUUUUCGGCCACUGAUUCUAAAAUGGCCAGAGUGUAAGGAGCAGAAGCACCAUAUUGGGCCACAGCAGCUUUUAAUUCUUUGAUAAUUCUCAAGUCAAAUCCCUGGUGAUGUCUCCAAGGCUGUCCCUGAGCAUCUACACUUUCUGUAACCGGGAAGGCUUCUAAGACAUCUGUGCUUUCAUUUUCAUGGUUAGGAUUCACACGCAUCUUGCCUUUUGGUAUGGAUGGUCCAGGCUGCUGUGGAGGGCGAGUUGUUUCUGCUUUUAAGCUUGUAUCUGUCACAGGCUCAUCCCGUUUUUAAUUUUUGUAGCUUGUUAAUCACAGACUGAUAAAGUUCCUCUAGCUUUAUUUGUUGCUCAAGAUAAGUGAUUUUUGAUUUCAACUCUUGCUUGGGGUCAACAACCGCCAUUACAGUAGGCGCAGAGGCCCGAUUAUAAGGAGGUGGCAGAGAUAAUGGCAGAAGCCAAUUGGGGUUGUGGUAUUUGGCUUCCUCAUCUUCUAAGGAUUCCCAAUUCACUUUUGCUGAUUUUGGGUCAUUUUCAUUGUCAAGGUCAGAGAGAUCUUUAAGAGGAGGACAUUUUUUAGGUCUCACAUCUGGCUUGAGUCUAAUAUCAGAUUUUUCUCUUUCAUCAUCUUUUUUGUGAACCUUUUUUCUGUCCUCAGGCACCCCGUGUCCCCCUUGUGCACCCUCAUCCUCACUUUCUAGGGAAAUUAGGUAGAUUUGCUCUUCUCCCUGUGUUUUGACCUUAUUGGUCUUGAAGGAAUCUUUCAGAAUCUCCUCAGUUUGUGAUAUCACAGCUAUUACUGUCGGGCAAGCCUCCUUUUUAUCUAUUAAUUCUUUAAUUAGAUUCCAAUAAGAGAAAGCAGUCACAGGAACCUUUUCAGGCCCCAGAGUGUUAUAGAAAUCUUUAAGAGCAUCUCCUACUCUAUUCCAACUUAUAAUAUCGAUAGUUCCCUCUUAAGGAAACCAAGAGCAAAGAUCCUUAACAAAAUCAAAAUAUUUAAAUAAAUCAUUGGUUUUUACCUUUCUCCUCACAGGUUUAAUGUCCCUUUUAACUGUCUCCCAUAGACCUCGUGUUGGCUUAAUGCUUGUCCCAUAAUCAGACUCUAUCACUCACCUUCAUUUCGGCUGCAGCAGGCUCCCAUGGCAUGCGAUGGUAUUUCUACAUACAGUGCUGGCCACCUGAGUCUUCUUCCUCACGGAGCCCCCUCUACUAUCCAGGCACCAGACGUUGGGCACCAAGCGUCCUAGCCCACGGGAACGUCAACGGAGACCUUGGAGAGGGGAGUGGGAAAGGAUGGGACAAGAGGCAUGAGAAAUGGAGACAAGAAAUAUUCUGAGCAAGUCUCAGGUAAUCAAGCAAAAACCACUUGUUUAUAGGCAGAAAAAAAUCACACAACAGAAACUGGUAGUCAGGGUAACGAUAAACAAACGUCACAUCAGAAACCAACGGAAUAAGUUUUGAUUUCCCAGAAACUUCUUACCUACAAUAAAUUUCAAUAUCCUGAAAUCUCUGACUAAUAAUAGAGUGAAACUCACUCUUGUGUAGAAGCAAGCUAGCAGAAGUCUCCAGUAUUCUUGGCCGGUGGUAACCCCCAUGUAUGCUACUUGGAAACCAGGGUGCAUGAAGUAGAAAACACCUAGCUCAGGCAAAGAAAGGCAUAAGCAGGCCGGGUGGCCCCAGACAAGGUGGCAGAGCCAAGGCUGAGUCCAUCAAAGAUAAAAACUGACUGAGCACAUCAGGGCACAGCCCUGUUCACACUCAGCUCCCACCGCCUCAUCCUGUCCCACCAGAUACACACAGCUUAGUGACACAGAUUCUGGAAACUUCUCCAUCUGCCAUUUAUUUAAAAAAAAAAAACAAAAACAAAAACAAAAAAACAAACAAAAAAACCCAACAAAUCCAAAACAAAGAACUUCUAAGUAUUCCAUCCAGUAAUUAAAAAGCCAUCCAGUCUUGGGUCAAGGAUGUGAACAAUCAAGUUCACACUCAGAUUCUUAUUCUCAGUGUGGAAUGAGGGGCUGAAGCUCAGGGCAGCAGGGAGGGACAGGAUGCAGAUGUCCCCA